CCUCGGGAAUAUAAGUAAAGAAGAUAACCCUAACCCCAUCACCCCCCACAUCAAACUAAGGUUGCGUUUGGCUGCUCGAGGAUCUAAAAACCAUUUACAAAAAAGUUGAGAAGCAAGCAAAAGUGGGGAUAUUCCCUUGUACAACAAAAACUCAUAUCUUCCCAUUCCCUCUUUUUUUAUCCCCCAAGAUCCUCCACAUCAAUACCCUACCGAAAGCCCUAAAAACCCAAAAAUAAAGAUUUAAAAAAAAUAAAAAUAAAGGUGGUUUUUUGGGACCUUUUUUUUUUACUCUACUAAUUUAGUCUUUCAGAUUUUCUUCUUUGACAUGACCAUUACAAGUUUAGAACUCUCUAGGGUCAACAAAAAUGGACACGCCAGGUGGUGAUUUAGUCCAGUCACCGACGGACCCGUCACUGUAGUCUUCCCCAAGUCUCUUGAUGCACCACAAAUCCUCAGGGCACGAUAGCAUUUUCCAGUGUGGAAUUCCUAACUUAAGCGGUUCGCGACUCGACACCUCCGUGGCCACCACCCCGCACCCACGCUCCUUCGCCAAGUUAUGCGCGUAAGCACACAGCGCCUUUACCAUCUUCACUGCAAGUGGACCUUCGCCUCCAAGACCGUACAAAAAAUGCAACCCAAAUGGCCUGAACACCUCGGGCACCGAUGGCAACCUCAGAAACGGCAACGCCUUGUCAACC
rnacentral:misc_RNA from 1 species